AAAGCGCCAGGCCUGGAGU
rnacentral:miRNA from 1 species